UCGACUCCGACCCCAAUGGACAUAUUGUCAGGAUGUGCAGAGUGUGCAGAACGGGCAGAAAAAGGUGUCUAACGGCUAGUUUCCGUGGGAGAUGGCUUAAAUAGCCACAGAGGACUGUAGCAAGGUAGGGAAGCACUAUUCCACUCAAAGAAAUCAAGCAUCCUAUCUCUGCCAACUGGUUUUCAACAGAAAAGAAGGAAGAGCGCCAUUAACUCCAUCCAGCUACCUCUUCCCAGCAUUUAAAGAAGUCUCCUCCUGCCUUCAAGUCGACCAGACAUUCAAGAGGAGACUCACAGUUCAAGAAGCCCUACUCUACUCCAACUCAAACGUGUUUGAGGGCUCUUAACUUCUCU
rnacentral:lncRNA from 1 species